GAUCUAAGGUGUGGACUGAUCUGUCCAGAGGGAGGAUCCCUAAGAAAAGGCAAGGCCAGAAAGGCUGCUGCUGGUAAUGAUGAUGUAGCGAGACCAGGUCAGAACUGUAUAUCUGAACACCAUUCCUGCCGAUGCUUGAGGCCAUUCAGUGUUUUUUUAGAAAAGGGUGACUCACAAAGUAAAAAGACACUGAUAGACCGUGCGGUUGUUGCACUUAUUGCAAGGAUGCUGGAAUGACAGCAAAAAGGGCAGGCAGCAAUGACAGCAAAAAUCCCCAGGACAGGGUUACGUUUCCUACUCCCCAAGCUCCCUUGCUGGCCGCUACUGUACAAGAAGGUGCUUAAAUAAAGGAAAGAUGCAAAUUGCAAAGCCCAGCCCAUUCACAGGGAGUGAGUGGAAUGCCCGCCUGUCACCGCAGCCCUGCCUGUGACUUUGCGAAAGCCGAGCUGAUCUGGUUUGGGAUUCAGAGGGGAGUUUGUCUCUUUGCAAUACAAAGUCCACGUGUCAGUUUUCAACUUCUCUUCCUGUUGGAGCCUUUCCAGGAAGUCAGUCUGGCAGCGGCUACUACAGACUGCGAUCAGCCCGGGGGAAAUGUACAAGCUGGAUUGAGCUUCCAACGUUGUGCACUGGACCGGGACGCCCCGUGAAAAGAUCUAGCCCCAGGGUAACGGAACCACGGCAGAGUUUGAAUGGAUCCACUUCGGAAUGAUGGUAAUAAGCAGAGCUGCAACCAGUCACCCCUUUCAACUCUUCCAGCAGGAGAUGACGUGGUACAGUAUAACAACAGAAGAAUUACUUUUGCAUCUCACUUGAAUCAGUGCAAGUAUUCUCGCUAUUAAUAUUGGAGUCCGACAGUUUGAUUCCUCCCGUGGACCGGGUCUCUGUAUUUGUACCAACGAUAACCAAGGCACAUUGUUAAUACCAGACCACGUUGCAGCUACGUUGCUCAGGGGCGUUGGCGGCUGGAGGGAGAGGCAGGAUAGAUUCCUAGACCCUUUUCUCUUAGCAUCUAAGGGUGGAGGUGCUUUAAACCUUUCCCAGGAGGUGGGGAGAAGGGGCGAAAGGGAGAACCGCACUUCGAGGCACAAACUAUUUUUAUUACUUGGGAUAUGAUAGAUGUGGGCUGUACCUCUGCAGAGAUGUAAGUGGAAGUGGGCCAGCCAGAAUGGAAAACUUAAUAAGCUUGUGUGUAAUGCGUGUUUUUAUAUUGAUCACAAAUGCACCGUGCAUUUGUGAUCAGUAUAGAAACAGGGGCAGAGAGACACGUGUUAGUUUUUCCUUACUUUCAGUUUUCUGGCAGUCCUCGAUGCAGAAUGCUUUCCAGGAUGCAGGGCCUGAAACGAGUUUCCCUCUAACUCACAAAAUGGAAGCAACGGGAAAAUGUGAAAAUCCUGCCUGAGGGGGGAAUGCCCAUAAGUGCCCAUGAAGACAAUCCUUUCUGUAGGCACCUGAUGUCUGUUUCCUUUUAGAUUAUGUGUUGCCAGCAGUCUUUCCAGGAAGCACUCACCCCCAAACUGACACUCAUUUUCAAGAGGGUGGGGCUACAUCUACACUACACUACUAGAAAAUCGUUAGGAGUAGUAAACUGUACAUGGCAAUUUAUUUUAUGUAUUUAGUUUACCACCAUCCACUGUACACCCAGCUCUAGGCCAAGUAAUUUGGAAAUUCAUCAGAAUAGUAUAUCAAAUUAUUUUUUAUCCUAAAAGUCAAAGCAACAUUUCCUAAAGCUUCGUGGGUAAUAAACUGUUUGCAUCACAUGCAAAAUUGAGGCUGUUGAACACUUUCACUGCAGAAAUGUGAGUGGAGAACUAAUCUCAGAGUAGAGAAAUUCAGUAAGGCUUGAGCUAAGCAAGUUUGCACUACAUUAAAAAGGUUAUUUUAGUGCAAGUCUGUGUAUAGACACCCUUUUUUCUGCAUGAAAGUGGGAAAAGUCAAUUUAGAUAAAGCUGGUUUGCUAAAUGCGUGCUAGUUUGGUUAGUUCAGGAGAGGCAGCGUAGCCCAGUGGAUAGGGCACUGCACAGAGACAUGGAUUCUACUCUGCCAUUCUGACAUUGGCAUGCUCGGUGACCUUGAGCAAAUCAUUUCACCUCCUUCUUGCACAGUGCUUUGAGAUAUUAAAAUAUUACUCCAUGUUUAAGGAUAUCAAAAUCGGGCCUUCAAACUGUAAUCUUUUGGGGGGCAGGGAAUUGUCUGUAAAACAAAAAGCAUGUUGGAACAUAAAUCUUUCUUACCCCUUCUACAAGUACUAUAUUUAAGCCUAUGUCCUUACAGACCCUUUAACUCCUGCUUGAGUCAUGCUCACUCAACUCUAAAAAGCAAAUAUUAGGAUCAAAGGAUAAUGAAGCAAAAAGAAAAGGAGGACUUGUGGCACCUUAGAGACUAACCAAUUUAUUUGAGCAUAAGCUUUCGCAAAUAAAUUGUGGCACCUUAGAGACUAACCAAUUUAUUUGAGCAUAAGCUUUCGCAAAUAAAUUGGUUAGUCUCUAAGGUGCCACAAGUACUCCUUUUCUUUUUGCGAAUACAGACUAACACGGCUGUUACUCUGAAACCAGGAUAAUGAAGAUAAGUAUUCAGACUCUUUCCCCAUUUCAGAUAUUUUAUGGAGCCUAAAAGGUAUGUACUCCCCCACCCCACAAUUACUAUAGAUCUACAAACCUGCAAUUCUUUGCAUUUGGUAGAAACAGGUAAAAGUGAGGCUUUUUUAUUUGAAUAUAGCAUGUGUACAAACCCAGACACACCCAUUUUAAUUCCUCACGUGCCAUAAUUUUUCAGGCCAUGUACAUACUCAGCUGUAGUAGGUUUUCAGAACUUCCAGUCUCAUAGUAUAUGCAGUUAUUUAGGCUCAGACAGUUUUGUUUCUAGUAAGAAAUCAUAUAGGAAUCUUGGUCAUCAUAGAUUGGUAGCAGCUAUUGAAAGAUUACCACUGACAAAGGUGUCAAUCCACCAACAAAGGUGUUGAAGCACCAUGCUAAUCGAAACAAAAUAAAACGAGGAGUCCUUGUGGCAUCUUUAGUGACUAACAAAUGUACUUGGGCAUAAGCUUUCAUGGGCUAGAACCCACUUCAUCAGAUGCAUGGAGUGGAAAAUACAUGCAUCUGAUGAAGUGGGUUCUAGCCCACAAAAGCUUAUGCCCAAAUAAAUGUUAGUCUCUAAGGUGCCACAAGGACUCUCUUUUUUUGCUGAUACAGACUAACACGGCUACCCCUCUGAAACCUGUCACCAUGCUAAUCAAGACUUUGAAGAGUAUUCUUAUUGGAUUCUAUGGAUGGUAAAUGCAAGAUCUGCACUGAGCUCAGAAGCUCCACAAUGGUUAAAUUAUACACAUGCAUAUUUAACAUUACAUUUCUGUGCACGUUAAAGAAAAAAAUAGUUCAAGGAAGAUGAGGGCGGGGUAAUGAGUAGGGAGGUGGGGCUCCCCUUCUCUCCACCCAAACUGCCUCUGCUUUUUCCUUGCUCACCUAAUUUUGUACAUUUGAAAGUUAAAAAUAGGCCUGCUGCAGAGGAAAGCAGUGUUAUCAAGGAGGCAAGAAGGGGACAGAGAGUAAUGAGAGAGCCUCUCCCUUACUAUCUUAUUAAUUUUCAGCAAAUGAACAUACAUAUAAACACCUCAGCACAAAAGGACAGUUUUUUUUAAAAAGGAACAGAGAACAUGAUGCAGAGAGCUGUGGGAAAGGGGGAGGUUCUCUCACGCCUGGUUUCACGCCUCUGCUCUCCCAUCUCCUAUCCAGGGGAGAGACAGUAAUUAGCUCAACUUCCUCUUUCAUGUCCCACUUCAGAACACCCAUAAAUCCCAGCAACACUAAUUCCUCACUGUGUUUGCCCCUAUGCAACUGUGCUGUUCCCCAUGUCACUCGCUUACACUAAUGAACCUCCAAUAGGUUUGUCAUCUGGAAGUUUUGCCUCUUGUAUCUAGGAAUUAGAAGUUAAGCCAACAAGAUGUCCAUCUCUACAGAGUUCAGAGGAAAAAGAUAGCUAACAAUAUUGUAGAGCUGAGUCUGACUUUGAGAUCUGGGAAGAUUCUGCAGUCAGGGUUCAGGCACAACACAUGAAAGGUGGGUCUCCCAUGAACCUACUGAAGCAAAGUCAUACUUAAAAUUUAAUUCUCGGCGGUGACAAUACUGAAACAAGUGAUGAACUCUUUUGAGCUUCAGGAAGGAUUCUCACAGUGCCACACAUUAGGUCAACAGGUGUGGCACUGAUGGAGAAAAAACAACAAACAAUAAAAAAUAUUGACUUGGGAACAGCAGAUGGCAAUUAAGGGAGGGAAGGAAUGCAGUGACAACUAUUGGGUUCAGCCCUCACCACACCUUUGACCUUAUUUCACAGCUUAUUUGGCCACAAAAUAAAAGCUAACAACUGUGCAAAUAAGCCAGAAUGCAGCUGCCAGUACUUACUUCACUUUGAAACCUAGUCCUCCUUACUCGUGUUUCCAUUUCCAGAAGAGGGAGCCAUAACUUGGUAAAAAAGAUGUCAGGAAUUAUAGCGAUAAGGUAUUAGGAACACAGCAUUUAAUAUAUAAUUUCUAAAAGGGUAUUUGGAGGCUAUAUAGCUGAGAAUAAAAUUCUAGGAGGGGAAAAAAUACACACCAGACAUAUUCUGUAAGUGUCAAAUGCAAAAUGGAGAGCAUAAAGUAAACAUAGGAAAGUAACACUAAGGGAGUUUAGGAAAUCCUUCAUGUGUAAGGCAGAGUGACAAAAGCAAUAAUCGUUCCAGGGAGGUUGGGAAAUGUUAGAGCUAGACAAGUACUUACACAAGAAACAAAGUGCAAACAUGUACGUGGACAGACCUCUGCAGGACUUGGGAAGUAUUGCCUCAGAAAUAAGACAGAUGGGGGGAAAAACAAACAAAACAAAAAAAACUCCAAAAAACCACCAUUAGCUCCUAUUCAUUUAGGCACUUUUAUGGCCCCGGCACUAUGGGAUCUGAGAAUCUAGUUCACCCCAUACACAAGAAAACAUCAGCUACUGCUUUGUUCAGUUUCUUCUAACAACCUUAUUAGCAACACAUUUUGUUCAUAUUAUACAUAUUCUAUCCUGUCCUUUUUAAACACACAAUUGUACGUGUUUUCCAGUGAAUGCCUGCUUUAACCUUGCUGACACGUGAGAAGCAGUUUUGCUUUCAAAGUAAGCAGGGCCUGUGUUCCCAAGGUAGUAGGGCUGGAAGAGAAAAUACAAAGUUAGCUAAAGGCCAACUUAUGGCCUAGGCCACACACCCAUGGAAGAAGUAAGAAACCCUCCCUUACACUCUUGCACAUCUUGCUGAACUCAGAGGUAUGACGGCCUUACAAAUAAAUGGGAGGGUGGGAGCAUUUCAAUAGAUGUACUAAAAUGAGAAGCCUUCCCAUCUCUACAUUAUUAGUUCCCAUCCAGGUCUGCAAUGAUCAAAAAAGUUACAACUGUUCAAUGAUCAGCAUGCAAAGUUUGUAGAAUCAAUCUAGUUCUUCACUGAUAAUUGCCCACUGGCAGUCUCCCUAAUGUAACAAAUGAUUACAAUUGGGCAUACUGUCAUUUCUAGAGAUGUUUUUUCAGAAUAGGGGUCAGGCAUAUUGGAAGAGGUUUGGACUUAGGCUAUGGUGUACCUGUGUACUAGAUAAAUACGACUUCACAUCCGGGUACUCUCAAUCUAGCACUACUUGGAAAUAUUACAUUCAUUUACAGGCCUGAUUUUGAUCAAGAUCUCAGCUUAGCUUCCCUUUCGGGCACUUUUGAGAAUGCAAAUAAUCGUGGGUAGGACUAUGUCUAAUUUCUUAUCUGCCAUGUUUUCUUCUUCCCUCUCUUAUCCCUACAAUGAACCUCUUCUGCUGGAGCAGAAAAAUAUGCUCUAUUUGACAACUACACAGCUUACUGUAUUUUCUCUCUUUUAUGCUUCUUAGGAAAACUGCAAAGGGUAGAUACAAGGCAGGCAAAGAGGACAAAAUAUAUCCACUCUACACCAAAUGAAAGCUUAUAUUAAUACUUGAGGACAAGGUGUACACUUUAAGAUUAUAUUUACAAUCCAAUAUAGUCCAUAUCAGAAGAGUAUAUAGAACAACUGUAACAUUUUAAAGCUUAUGAAUUGCAGUAUUAUGCAUUUUUUAUUUUUCUCCCAACAAUGAUCUGGAAAUAGCAUUCUGUUUCUUAAAAGCACGAGGCAAUGAUGAUCUAGAUACACGUAUCCUGGAUCACACUCCUACUGAAUUUAAAACCUUUCAUAAAAAAGUUGGGUAUUAAGGUAUUGUAAAGAAGCUGAGCAACACACAGCUCUAAGACUCAAGCAAUGUUUCUUAACUUGCACUUUUAAAUGUGCAAACCAGAGGGAUAUUUACAACUUAAGCAAAAAACAAAAAACCCCGCCCUGGGAUAGUGUAAUUAACAUGUUUUACAUUUGUGCCUAUCUUACAUGCAGCGGAAAAAAGUUCCGCCUUCUUGCUGCAGUUUCCUUAUGUGGUUUUACAGCAACAGUGGUAUCCUGUUUAAAAAAAGUUAUGUAGAAUGUGAGUGUACUUAACUUUUAAAAACUUCACCUCAAUCUGCUUUCCAGGUAGCUUCCUUGUACUUAAACAUAUUACCUACAUACAUGUGUCUCCAAAAAUUCCAGAUAAAAAUUAUAAUCUGUCUAAUAGUUUCUAUGUAAUAGCCAGUUCCCAGCCAGUAAUAUUGAAAAUUAAAAAACAGUUCUG